ACAAAAAGUAGACAGAGGUCUCAGAACCCACGUCUCAUUACAAAAGUAGACAGAGGUCUCAGAACCCACGUCUCAUCACAGAAGUAGGCAGAGGUCUCGGUACCCACGCCUCAUCCGAUCCCACAGCCAUAACCAGACGGAGGUACGUUUCAGGCCCCACGUCUAUAUUAUCCACCAUAAUGAGCCAAACAACUGGAUCGAAAGACUCUCCCCGUCAGGGCCCCAAUCAAGCCAGUAAUAACACUUCCCAGAACAAUACGAAAGAGGAUGGAGCUAUGAAAGAUGAUGGAGGAAAGAAAACCCCCAAUAUAGCCAGGUCUAAACGAGGUGCAGGGUUCAAAAUCCCCCUCAAAGGAAAAGUCAAGACCCCCUCCCAGGCCAAACCCAAGGGGAAGACAGCUAAAACCCCUACUCCGGACGAAUUAACCCUCGGGACGUCCGUCACCUUACUGGGAAAGAUACCGAAGGUUAAGGGGGCCGAGUUUUCUAUGGACGACUCGGAUAAAUUCGAGACGAUUCCCGUCACCAAGAAAGCGAAGAUGGGGAAUCAGGGAAGGAUGUAAAAACGGGUUUUCAUCCCCCUGACGACACGGACAUUGCCUCGGCGGCAUGGUUCAUGAAGAUGUUCCAGGCGGCGCAAAAAUGUAUGAACUUGUCGAAUCAGCCGAUUGCAGGCGACACCAGCGCCCCUACCAGAUCAGCGGCGCAGACCAAAACUCUGCCCGACAGCCCAGGCGCCCCGACGCCGGACGGGCCGCUGAGGCGUGACGGAGUACCGGCGAAGCGGCCACGGCCAGGACAACGGGACAUUGAAAGCCGUACUCGGGGGAGAAGCCCGAGUACCUGUCAUGCUCCCUCUAUUGAUAUAAAUGAGGAUGAUUCAAACUCUGAAUAUGGCUACCAUCGGCCCAUAGCAUCCCGCAAGCGAAAAUGGGCAGACUCUUUGCUGUCUCAACUUUCCACUUCAGGAUCAGAGAGACAGAGCAUUGCUAGCGGUCGUUAUGAGAAGGAGGGGGUUUCAGUGAUUAGUGAGGGUUUUUCUUCAGCUAUUUUUGCUUCCAGCCCCAGCUCUCGCCAUGAUAGCGUAGAAAGCAAGCCUGUUUCGGCUGCAGAUUUGAUUACGAAAUACUGCCCCCAGCUUAAGGCAGAUACUACCGACUCAGAGGAAUCUAAGCCUAUUUUCUGUCUCGAUUCGGAGCUUGGGAGACAAUCUGUCAACUCAGCUGCGGUGAAGCUUGACAAACCCUUCUCAUCCUGCCUGAAUUACCUUAAUGACAGGGGAAGGGACUUACGUCCUACCAACAGAGUGGUUAAGAAGCACUUUCGCUUUGGGGAACGAGACUUUAAGCACGCUUUCAAGACUCCCACAGUCCCAGAUGCAGCCUUUUGUGUUGGUGAUGCUAAGGCUAAGAGAUCGCGCUACUCUAAUCAGAAUCCACUCGGGUCACGUAGAUUUAAGCGUAUGGAGAGUCAGUUGACCUCUAUUGACCAGGCAGCCAGGGCAUCUAUGCGCCUAGCAACCUAUCACACAUAUCUUUUGACAGCCUUUCGGGAAUCUGAGAGACUAGGUAUCUCCCCAGAGGAUCGCAGAGACAUAUGGGAGUGUGUUAUGAAGAUUGCAGAAUACCAGUUUGAACAGGCGUCGAGAACGGCCAUACUUUGCACGAGAGCAAGACGUUCACAGGUCAUUGACCUACUUCAGAUUGAAAAAAAUGCUACUCGACUACUCGAAAGACUGCCAGCCUGGGGGGAUGACCUUUUCAGUGGUCGUUUUCAGGAAGUUUUAGAAUCUUCCAUCUCUGCCUCUUCCACGGCUGAUAAGACAGUGUACAGGUUGUCUUCACAUUCUUAUGGCCAACGUUCCUCCUCACGUCAGCAGGCCUCUGGGCCGAGUAACCAGCAACCGCAGGACCCCCCACAACGCGAGGUCAGGGAUAGGAGCCCCCAGACCAAUCAAAGGACCCCUACACCCUUUCGGGGUCGACGCAGAUUGUCCCGCGGUUCUCAGUACCCCCUAAACACUUGUGACUCCUUGGCCGGACCGUUUUCCCCAGACUUACACGCCCCCGUAGGAGGAAGGCUCAUUUUCUUUGCAAAAAAUUGGAGCCUCAUAACAAGAGACAAAUUAAUUCUCAGGAUAGUGUGGGAGGGAUAUCGGGUCGAGAUCGACCCAGAUUAUCGGGAUGCGUUCGCACAAUUAACCAAACCUCUGCCCUCCCCCACUCUCUCGAAACGAGAGAGGCUCUUUUAAGGGAAAUCAACGAACUGGAGAGAAAGCGUGCAAUUUCCAAGGUGCCCUCCAGCCGAAAGAUUGUUUUGUCAAAUGUCUUCCUUAUUCGGAAACGGUCCGGAAAAUUCAGGAUGAUCCUGAAUCUAAAGAAACUAAACAGGUUCAUCGAAAACAAGUCAUUCAAGAUGGAAUGCCUCUCCAAGAUCCUGCCCCUGCUUCGCCCCCACGAGUGGGCGGCAUCUAUAGACUUAUCGGACGCGUAUCUUCACGUUCCAAUAGCAAGGUCCUCUCAGCAUCUCCUAGGUUUCGCAAUAGGAGGGGACACUUACCAGUACCAGGCCCUCCCUUUCGGCCUUCGCUCUGCUCCUCGCAUCUUUACAAGGCUCGUCAGGGUAAUUGCUGCAGAGCUAAGAAGAAGAGGGGAAAAAUUUUUUUGCUAUCUGGACGAUUGGUUGAUCCUCGCCCCCUCAGAACAAACCCUUCUCAGACACUUGAAGGUCACAAUCGCGUUAACGUCAAAUUUAGGCCUUCUCAUAAACUGGGAAAAAUCAAGAUUGACUCCAACUCAGACUCCGGAUUUCCUUGGAGCAUUUAUAGACAUCCCGAGUCAGGUGGCAGCCCCCCUUCCCCUCCGGGUUCAGAGAAUGAGAGCAGUCGCGGAGCAACUCCUGUCCAGUCGUCUCUCGACUGCGAAGACUUGGCAGAUUUUUCUGGGACUCUUAGCAAGCUUAGUGAAUACAGUUCCCCCUUGCAGACUGAGGAUGAAUUUUCACAUAAACGGUUUGGAGAUGAUUGCGGUGCAGUUAGCCCUCCAACACUUUGCAUCCGAGAUAGUGGAAAAGUGUGUCCUGAUAAAGUCAGACAACCAGACGGUGGUAACAUAUCACAUAGCAGACUUCUUAUCGAGGGGGCGCUAUCUCCCCUCGGAAUGGAUGCUCCACGAGGCUGUGGCCAGGGAGAUAUUCAAUCAUUUCGGCAACCCACAGAUAGAUCUAUUUGCCUCAACACUACCAGGGACCCAGCACUACUACCCCGAGCCCAACAAACUGAGGCUCACACUGUGGCCCAUUACAGGGCAGCAGCAAUCAAGGCUGGACUUUCUGAACGGGCUGCCAAUUUCUCAGCAGAACGUUUACGGUCUUCCACACGAUCAACCUACGACUCCAGACUCAGUCACUAUGUGAGAUGGUGUCGGCAGGCUAAGACUAAUCCAUGCAGGGCAUCUGUAGGGCUGUCUCGCCGGAUACUAUCUCUCGUUGGAUUGUGGAGGCAGUGAAAUCUGCUGGUGAUCCAGUCAUCAUUCACCAGAAAGUUAGAGCCCAUGACACAAGAGGAUUGGCUGCUUCCUGGGCCUUAUUCAAGGGCGUACCCAUGGAGGAUAUAAUGAAAGCGGCAUAUUGGUCCAACGCUAAUACAUUCACAUCCUGCUACCUCUCGGAUGUCCUCGGUGAUGAAUCCAAGUUUGCGAGGGCCACCCUGUCCGGUCCCCAUCGCUAAUCCAAGGUAUGAGUUUAACUUUACAAGCUUGUCAUUAGUAUCUUGUAUAAUAGAAUUGAUCUGUAGGGCCUCUUGGCUUUGACCUUUGGCCUGACCACCUCCCAUAGUUGUUUCCGUGGGAAUCUGGCAUUUAAGGGAAUAGGUAAGUAUGGCGUAUCUGAAGUAGAUUAUGUUGUUCAGUAGUGAACACCAUAUCUACGAAGUAGCCAUACUUACCUAUGCUACCCUCCCACCUCCCCUCUUUCUGUAUCUGAGGUUCGUUUGCCUAAGAAAGAGGAAGUGAGCCACGCACGCAAGGUACUUAUAGUAUAGGGCGGGGUUUCCCUCCUUGUCGUGCGGGGCUCUAGUCUGCGUUGCAGACUUUUUCUCCUUUUAUAGGAGAAAUUUUUGCCGGGUGUAUUCGAGCAUGGCGAUCGAAUGGCAUUUAAGGGAAUAGGUAAGUAUGGCUACUUCGUAGAUAUGGUGUUCACUACUGAA
rnacentral:misc_RNA from 1 species